rnacentral:rRNA from 1 species
UUUGUUGCCAGCGGUUAGGCCGGAACUCAAAGGAGACUGCCAGUGAUAAACUGGAGGAAGGUGGGGAUGACGUCAAGUCAUCAUGGCCCUUANGAGUAGGGCUACACACGUGCUACAAUGGCGCAUACAAAGAGAAGCGACCUCGCGAGAGCAAGCGGACUUCAUAAAGUAUGUCGUAGUCGGGAUUGGA